rnacentral:misc_RNA from 1 species
AAGUCGUAACAAGGUUUCCGUAGGUGAACCUGCGGAAGGAUCAUCAAUGAAAUUCUUCAUUUCAACCAAGGGAAGACCUAGUCUUCUCCAGUCUAUUCAAUGUUAUUUGGUAGUGUGUGUUGUCUUUUGUAGCGAUACAGAGCACGCACAUUUUCAUACACUUCAAUGUUUGUUUUUUCUUCGUGGAAAAAUGAUACCUUUUUUUUUAAGAUUUAUUGAAACACAAUCAAUACAACUUUUAGCAAUGGAUCUCUAGGCUCUC